rnacentral:rRNA from 1 species
UACGAAGGGGGCUAGCGUUGCUCGGAAUCACUGGGCGUAAAGCGCACGUAGGCGGAUUCUUAAGUCGGGGGUGAAAUCCUGGAGCUCAACUCCAGAACUGCCUUCGAUACUGGGAAUCUUGAGUCCGGAAGAGGUGAGUGGAACUGCGAGUGUAGAGGUGAAAUUCGUAGAUAUUCGCAAGAACACCAGUGGCGAAGGCGGCUCACUGGUCCGGUACUGACGCUGAGGUGCGAAAGCGUGGGGAGCGAACAGG